AAUCUAAGCCAAGGGUUACGAAAAAGAUUGUCAAUGGGCAAAAAUGGUAGGAAGAACCAUUACUGAAUUGAUAUCAAAAGAGCUACAUUUUUAAGUUAGAACACAAUCACUCCCUGGUCACAAGCAUCUAGAAAAGAUUUGUGAGAAGACAAUGUAAAAAUCUCGGUCAUACAACACAUAGUUCUACUGAAAAAUGCAUACAUAUUCAAGAGUUUAUUCAUAACAGUAGUUUGAUGAAUGGAAGAGAGCUUUUACCAGAAAUUUCGAGUAGUACUAUUACUAUAUAGAGAACAUCAAAAACAUACACAGGAAAGUGAGACAAGCAACCAUCGAGCCGGCAGCCUGGAAGUCGUAUAUGAUUGCUCCAAUUUUUUUUCCUCAAAAUCCAAUUAUUAACGGCUCUACAUAAAAAGAAAAGCUAUGGAAGAUGGAGAACUAUGUCUAUCAUUAAGGAGAUGGUCAGUUUCCUUUACAAGCAAUCUUAAUAUUUUUGUCUUGCCAAGUAAAUAAUCUCCCUGAAAUAUACUCCGCACUAAAAGAGAGACAAUUAGAGCCAGCAGAUUCAAUCAAUGAAUAAGAGUUACAUUCCUUGUCUAUGAAACAAA